CAAUCUCUAGAGCUUGGCCUCCACUUAAGGUAUUAAAUUCUGGAAUAUUUCUUAAUUUCAGUCUUCGUGCUAUCUGUAAACAUACCUCCCUGUUAACAUUAGGUGCAUUGUCCUUAGUAGUUCCAAGUAAAUAAAAUUUACUUGUACUCUCAACAAUUCCAAGUAAACAAUGACCCCCAGAGAUUAAUAAAACAAGGUAUGGAAAAUCAACCUAUGUAGAUAAAAUAAAACACUUUAAAUCUUA